UAUACUGCUUAAAAAAAGUGUACAUCCCUGCGUAUCUGGUUGUCAAACAUAGUGCAUGGUUUUCUUGCUAUGUUUUCAGACUCUUGGAACUCUAUCUGUGUGAGCUUCGCAGCCUGUCCUAAGUCUGGAUAAAAGAUGAGAAUUGUGGUAGGGCGAUGGUCAAUGUAAACGUACUGUAUAGUGUAUACUGUGGCUUGGAUACCAAUAGUUCUAUAACCAACUCAACUGGUUUGUGGUUAAUGAAUAGUUGAUCGGUCAUUCUCAAACCUUGGACCAACUAUAGAGCUUCAGAAUCUUACAUUAGAAAAUGAUUUUUAAAUUAGUUUUUGGAUUAUGUCUGCAGUUCAAAGUUUGUAGACUGCUUUCAUUAUUAUAUUUUAGAAAAAAAAAAAAGUUUUUUUGACUGCUUUCUGUUGUGGUAAUUCAAUUUUUGUUUAUAAGUGAAUUGUGCAAAUUUUCAGUAAAAGCUACAAAGCAUACCUUUUGGAGUGUCAAGCUUGUUGCUGAAAGUCUAGCAGUAAGGACCAUAGCCUACUUCUUUGCCCCUGGAGUACAAAAUUUUUGUCUAAGACAUUGCACUGCUGAUUUCAUGAAUUGAUAAAACCUUAAACUUCCAAUGAUGACAUUGUCUUCUAUAUGAGAAAUAAAUAAUGACAGCAGAAUAGUGAACCUAGAAAGGAAGACUAGUGCUUUUUGGCCUCUUAUAGGUCUUGUCAUGCCUGCUCCUUUUGGGACCUAGUUGAUUCUCAAUUAAGUAGUUUUUCAAUGAAGCUACAUAUUCUGUUCAACAUCAAAAGUAUAACUUUUUAUUUUAUCGUGGCUUUUUCGCUUUCGUUAUUUUCAUUUGCAUACUGCUUUAAAUUGCUUGUCUUUAUCUGACAUUUAUUUGCCAUGCUUUCUCUUGAGCUGAGAGUCUUUUGGAAACAACCUUCCUACCUUCCAAGGUAGGGGUAAAGUCUGCGUACACUUCACCCUCCCCGGGCCCUACAUUGUGGGAUUUCACUGGGUAUGCUGUUGUUGUUGUUGUAUCAUUUUGCUGAGACUAUGGCAGAUAGUGUUUGUACUCUCAGUUUUCCUUGUGGUUUGUGGAAUCUCCUGAUGCUAUGCUAGCGGAGCGAGUAUAUAGCUAAUAAAAUCAAUUUAAAUCAUAAUUGGCUGGUUUAUGAUUUAAUCAAGAAUAAUCCCAAAAUUGCUCUUCUUUGACAUUCCUUCUCCAAGUCUACAAUUAAGAUCAGUCCUAAAUACCCUGGAAAUUCACAAUAACAUUCUCUCUCUCUCUCAAAAAAAAAAAAAAAAACUCUUGAAAUUCCUGCUGCUUCAUGAGUAUUAUUUACUGCUAGUUCUGUGCAUCCUUCCUUUAAUUAAUUAAUGAGCAACAUGAUUGAAUUUUGAGUAGCCGCUUUUAUACGGGGGUACCCCAUCAUUAAUAAUGCUCCCUCCGUGCCGAUUUAUGUGGUGUAAUAGUUGGAGUAGAUAGGGAGUUUAUCAAUGAAAGACAGACUUUUGAAACUUAUCUACAAUAAGUUAUAAAUAUUUGUGUGGAUAAAAAUCAUCUCAUUAAGGGUAAAAUGAGAAGUUUGAAGUUAAACUGUUAAAGAUAUUAUUCUUUUCGGAACUCAAAAAAAAAAAAAAAAAAAGGGAAAGAGUGUCACAUAAAUUGGGACAGAGGGAGUAUUACUUACCCUUUUUUAUUUUAAACCGAGGGAGUAUUAUUUAACUUAUAAGAAAAGGAUUGAAUUUUGAGUUCUGUCAGAGUGUCAGUAUACUAUUUGAGAUUUCUCGAGAAUGAUUUUAUGAAAGAUUUAUUUAUUUUCCUCAUUACAUUGCUUAGUCCCAAGUGUAAAUGACAAAUUAUGAUUAGGGAAACGUGGAUGCAUCUUCUGUAGUAUUUUUUCUUUGGGGUGGGGGACUGUAUGCCAGAGCCCAUUUGCAUUUGUAUAUGUAGGAUUUUGUUUUGCCUGUCUUUUAUUAUAGCGAACAAAUAAUUUUGCUGUACCGAACUACUUCUGAAGAAUCGGGUGAUUGAUCAGCUGGUUCAAAGUUUUAGAUAAUCAAAGCGUUUUUUGUGUAUGCUUUCUUUCUCCUAUAUUCUGCAGCUUUGUGAGACUCAAAUCUUGGUAGAUGUCCUUUUAUGUGAUCGGACUUGUUUCAAGCAUUUGUUUCAUGCAGACUACAGUGGUUUUGCAAGCGUGUGUUUAACAAAUUUCUUCAUACACAGACACAUUUACAGCCAGGAGCAGAAGGGCAUAAACAUAUUUGCAGAUGAUAGUAGUUCAGCUGUCAAAUCCUUCCUACAUAAGGUCUUGACUAGAUCUUUUAUCUACAACACCUCGAGUGGCACCUUUUCUUUCAAAAAAUGACCCGGUUAUUAAGGCACUGGAGAAGGAAUUAGCUGAUCAUACUGCAGAGGUGAACGUACAGCAUGAGACUCUAGAUGGAACGUUCACUUUUUACGAUUCAACUAGUGGCAAGUUGCAUAUAUAUCAGGUUGCUAGCGUGACAUUCGACCUGCUUUUGUUGUUGGUUCUAGGAUCAUACUUGAUUAUACUUUUCAGUUUUCUUUUUAUCACCCCCAGGAGUUGUUGCAGGAUACGAUCAAGAUCCAUAUAGCCUCUGAAGAACUCACGAUGUCCGCUCCCACUCCAGAGCUUCCUGUUGAUUCUCAUCCUAGACUGAAGCUACAAUUAUUUCUUUGAGUUUAUUUUCCUUGAGUUGAUGGUUAUAGAAGCUAGUGUACCUGUCUAGACUAGGUUUUGGGAAAAAUUGUUGUUAAUAAAGGAUGCAUUUGAGUAUUUAUGUUUCUCUUAAAGUAAUGUUUUAAAUGAAUGGUCAAUGAAAUUUCUUAA